rnacentral:rRNA from 1 species
UACGUAGGGUGCGAGCGUUGUCCGGAAUUAUUGGGCGUAAAGGGCUCGUAGGCGGUUGUCGCGUCGGGAGUGAAAAUCCAGGGCUUAACUCUGGACUGGCUUCCGAUACGGGCAGACUAGAGGUAUGCAGGGGAGAACGGAAUUCCUGGUGUAGCGGUGAAAUGCGCAGAUAUCAGGAGGAACACCGGUGGCGAAGGCGGUUCUCUGGGCAUUACCUGACGCUGAGGAGCGAAAGUGUGGGGGAGCGAACAGG